ensembl:lncRNA
UCCAGGUGACUCUACCUCAUAAAGCUGACUGAGAAAAUCCAGCAGAGAUGUUCAAAACUGAUCUUCUAAGCAAAAUAUAUAAAAUACAUACUUUUCUGGUUUGUUUAACACUUUUUUUGUUUAAUAAAUGAUUAAAUAUGUUUUUCUUCAUAGUUCUGAUGAGUUUAGUAUUAAUCUACAAUGCAAAAUAUUUUAAAAUAAUGAAAAAACACUGAAUUAAAUUUUAAGACGUUUUUCCAGACUUUUGAUCUAGGGUUUAUACUGUCUGCAAUCAGAAAUGUAUCACAGCAGAAAUACUGUACAGUAAAAACAGAAUUAUAAUAUGCUGUUUGUUUUUAUUGUUGACUGUUUCAGGCGUCUCUGUUUUUGGAGUGGUGGCGACGCUUCUGGCAGCUUUAUUGUUCGUUGGUUUUGUUUUACUGAGCUUUAAGUAUCCAGAAUAUGUCGGAGUCGGAGGUGUUUUGGGCUCCAUCAUCCACUAUCCUCCUCAUUCUCAGAAAGAAAAAGAAAAAGGACGAUCUGAAAACGUUCCUCCAGCUAAUGUCUCUCCUUACUGAGGGCUGAAGUGGUGGAGGGUGACUUAUUAAGCUGCACUCCUUUCUUAAAUUAUUUAAUUUUUAGUCAUGACCAUGUGGUUGUGCUUCGCAAUGCAAUGCAUUUUUGCGCAUUUGAGUAACAAGGGUGCAAAAGUUUACAUACUUUUCUUAUGGCACAAUGAUAUAAAACCACUAUUCAGAAAGCAUGAAGAAUUGGCCCCAGUUCUGCACUGAAAAUGCGAAGAAUUGGGGAGAAUGUGGUUUAAAAUGGGUAUUCACAUGUGGCUUGGGCCGAUUUCCAUAUGAAAUUCAGUAACCAGGGUGAGGACAUCUAGCAACAUUAAUGCACUCACCAAGCUACACCAUAGCAACCACCUGAGACAUCAGAGUAAGCUCCUAGCAACACCAUAGCAUGCGUAUAGCAACACAAUAGCACCCAUGUAGCUACACCUCAGCAACCACCUGAUAUAUCAUAUCAUGGUAGCCUCCUAGCAACAUCAAUGCACUCACAUAGCUACACCAUAACAACCACCCUGAGAUAUCAUAGCACAUCAUAGUAACACCACAACAACCAUGUAGCUACACUAUAGCAACUGUGUUGAUCAAAAUGAUUCCCAUAUUAUACUCAGUAACCAGGGUGUUGGUACAUAUUGUAUUGUACUCGAUCCGGAUGUGAGCUGAGUUUUAAUUUUUGCUAUAUGCAUAGUAACACCCAACCAACCAAAUGGGGUACCACAUCAACCACUUGGCAACACUCUAGCUACCACCUCAGACACCACAGCAACCACUUGUACUGUAUAAUAAUUGUAAAAACUGUAAAUAUACUGUACAAAUACUGUACCUAAGCAUCCACCCCAGUGUAGUUACCGCCUAGAAAACACCGAUGCAGUGUGGAUUAAGAAGCUUGUGAAGGAAAACUAAAGGGGAAUUUUGUUUUUUCCUCGCCAAGUUAUGAAAACAUUGACAUUAAAAAUAUAAAUGUUUGUAGUGAGUUUGUUUGUUUAUUUUGUAUAUUUAUUGU